rnacentral:rRNA from 1 species
UAGGCGUUUACAGCUUACCGGGUUCGAAUUUUGUUUUUUAACAGGGCUCGUGCAGUAGGGGUUGGAGAGCUGGAAUAGGAGGGUGGCGCGGCGCUGCGGACGGGCUGGAACGUGUCGCGGCGGGGGUAGAACGGGCUGGAAGGUGGCGCGGUUGGGUGGGUCGGAGGGUGGCGCGGCGCGGCGGGCGGGGUGGUCCGGAGGGUGGCGCGGCGCGGCGGGGCGGGCCGGAGGGUCGCGCGGCGGGGCGGGCGGGCCGGAGGGUAGCGCGCCGCNNNNNNNNNNCGGAAGGAGGCGCGGUGGGCCGGAGGGUGGCGCAUCGCAGCCGGGCGGGCUGGAGGGUGGCGUUGCGUGGGAGGGCGAUGUCCAGAGUGGGAGGGAGCCGACGUCCAGCGCCGGGGGGCGCCGACGUCCAGCGCCUAAGCUGGAGCAGCGACGUGUAUCCCUGGCACCGGAGGGGGCGCACACCAGCGGAGGCAGGACGAAGCCGGGCAAAGGCCGGCACGUAUCUGACUAACUUGACUGCCCGAACUAGGGGAAGCUGUCAACGUCGAAGUGGUUACAACGGCAAGUUGUUGCGUCGCUAGACUCCCCUCUUCUGUUUGAUUUACUAAGUCAAGUAGUAACCGUAGGAACACUUGUCAAGACUUCUAUCGAAAGUCUCUGAUUAAUGCACUAUAAAGAGAGUUUGAAAAAGAUGUUUAUCGGACCCUGAAGGUGACUGACACGGUGACGAAGUCGUAGGUGGUAGUCACCGUAACCGGCGGGAGACUCGGUUUAGAACCGCGAGGGUCGGCGACGAGGACCUGGGGCGGAGGUAGUCGAGGUGAAGUGGUCUCGGCGGUCAGGCGUACUCAUCCCCAUCGCAUAGGGGGAUGUCGCCAGUUUAGGGCCACGUGGGUCGGCCAAGAGAACUUGGGGCGGAGGUAGUCGAGGUGAAGUGACCUCGGCAGUCAGGCGUCCUCAUCCCCAUCGUCCAAGUGGGUUGCAGGCUGCGGAAGAAGGUAGAGGUUUUUAGAACAAAAACUCAAGUCAAGAAGUAGUGUACAAAGUGAUCGACCUUAACGAACUGCUUGUCUCGUUUCCCGGGUUUGGGUGAUAGCACGUUCUUUUUCUUUAGUUUCGGGGUUGGUAGUCGACGAGUUUAGUAAUCCUUAACUCCGAAGCGGUUCCUUGUUCUGACCAUUGAUCGCGUUUCCUCUGAUACAGCUCUCCACCGUGACGAUCUGAACGACUACACAUCAAUACCGUAUUUUUUCUACUUUUUUUAAAAAGAACAUACUAAGGUAUUCGACAUGUAUCGUUUAGAAGGGUACACCUAGUCAUGUUGAAUACAUGCCGGAACUCAAGUGUUUAGAAUAUCAUUAGAAACAUCAUGAAAAGCAUUGUGAUUCAUUUCGUUCUCAUCGGGAAAAAAACACUCGUUGUUAAGUUUGCUUAGACAACAUAGUCAAGAAUACUAUCUAUCUUCUAUUUUGUUCUUUCUCUUCGGGAAAAAAACAUAUUCAAGACAACUUAGACAACAUAGUCGUUCUCAUCGGGAAAAAAACAUAUUCAAGUG